AUAUAUAUAUAUAUAAACUAUGUGUAGUUUAAUUGUUAAACAUUCUUGAAUCAUUAGGUUCGAGUAAUGGGUUGAUGUAAGUUAUGUAAAUUAGCCAGCACAUACAUGAUGACCUCUUCACCAAUUAAAUAGGGAUUUGAUGCGAAGAAAAUGGUCUUGCCGACAAAAGAGAUUUUGAGAGUUGUCAUUGAGCAUGAAAUACGGAAAUUUUUUAAUAUGCCUGCCCCUUGGCUGUUUCUUGAUUUGGCCUUCUGUAUAUCCAACAAAGUUUUGUUUGUUUUAUUUAUUUUAGUAAGGGGAAAUGGCCACCUAAACCCCUUAAAUAGAUAGAGAUUGAGCAUGAUGGUGCAUAAGUAUAUGAAGGUCAAAAAUCAUCAUUUCAGUUUUGAAAUUAAUAACAACUAGACUAGAAUGUGUUGAAAUUUUCUUAACCUUAAGAGAUUUAAUUUGAUAUUGGAAGUAGAUCUAAUCAUAGAUCUUAUCCGAAUGAGAAAGAGAUAAGGAGAGAGCAUCAAUUUUCUUUCUAAUUAAAAAGAUACCCAUAGGGUCGUCAUAAACCUACACCCCCCCUCCCCCCCCGGGACCCCCCAAUAAUUAUGUCAAUAUGAAAUAUGGAUGGGAGAUUAUAGUGAAGGGACAUAAUUUUUCUAGUGAGGUGCAUAACUGUUUUUGUUGAAGCAAUUAGGUCUCUCUCACUAUUUGAGCCCUAUACUACCUAUUAUACUACUAUUAAAAAAAAAAAAAAAGAGUUUACCGGUACAAACUAACCAGUAACCACAUAUAAAAAGACUUUGUAUCCUAAUAAUAAAUAAUAUUAUCAAAAAUUACUGUUUAUGAACUUUAAAUCUACUAAAAUUUAUAGAUGUUGAUGAUAUGGUAUUAUGUAGGGGUGGGCAAUUUCGGAUUCGGAUGAAUCCGAUCGGAUUUCGGAUAAUUUGGAUUGAAAAAAAAUUCAUCCGAAUUCAAUACGACUUUAAAUCCGAUCGGAUGAUUCGGAUUGAUCCAAAUCCGAUCCGAUCUGAACCAAAUCCGAUCGGAUCGCACAAAUUUCAUCCAAUUGGAUUUACCUUCAAAUCUGAAUCCGAUCCGAACAAAUUCAGAUCGGAUCGAAUUUAUCCGAAUCCGAUUUGAACAAAUUCAAAUCGGAUCAAAUUUAUCCGAAUCCAAUCCGAUGCCCACCCCUAGUAUUAUGUCAGUCAGGCCGAAAUCAAUAACGGAAUAGAACUCAGAUUCUUUUAGUAAUUAAUGAAUCAAAACACACUUUCAAGUGGGAAAAUAUCCGUUUAUCACCUUCCCAAUUUUUAGCCCACAACUCUCAAUUAUUUUCAUGACCCCAAGCCCGAAUUUAACACAAUUGAGUUCAAGGCUUCAUUCGGCCUGAAAAGAGAUUUGGAUCGAAGGUUUACCAAAUUGUAACGAGAAAGGCCAAAAUUACCCCUAAAAAAAGUUGGAAUUCAAUUACUUAAAAGGAAAUUGCAAAAGAUUUAAUUGACUGACUAUGCGAAUUAAUAAUUAAUUUAAAUUUUAAAAAAUUAAUAAGAAAUCUAUUGAGAAUUAUCUUAACGUCUUUUUCACGAAAGCCCACCAGUCCAAAAGCUUAAUCCAAUUUAGGGUAUUUUUAGAUUACCGUGGCUGAUGAAACAAGUUGUUAAUUGAUGAAAGAAGCCACAAACUAAAAAAUGAUUAAGAUUUUACUAAAUUGGGCUAUUGUGAUUUUUGUGAGUUUAAAAAAAUGAAGUAUAUAUAUUUGGUAAAUUUUAAACUAAAGUGUUGUUGUUACAUUAUUGUAUAGUGACUAAAAUAGCCACUUGGGCUUUAGUUCAGCGGUGAACAACUACUCUCAAAGUUAAGAAAUAUUAUGAGGGUAGUGGUUCGAGUCUUCAUAAGCUCAACCUCCCUCAAUUAAGCAAAAAACUAUGUGGAAUUAAUUUGUGAGUCUUUCUCCCUUGCGAAAUACGAGUGAAGCAGAAACAUCCCUCCUCUGUGAGGGUCAUAUGUCUGAGCAUAUACUUCAUAAAAUUAAUGUAAUAAUGUAAGUCUCAAGUUAUAUAUCUGAUUGUAAAUAUUAAUGUAAUGUCUACUCUAAUAGUAGUUGUAAAUAUCCGUGUAAUACAGUAAUAUGAUGCGUAAUCAAUAUUAAAAAAAAGUGAUUGAAAUAGACAUAAAUUUACGCUACCUUUCAUUUUAUUGGAAUAAAUUUAAUAAAUUGUUUAGACACACCAUCUUUUCUUUUUAAAAUAUGUAAAUUUACAUAAAGUAAAAAGCUCAGUUAAUUAAAAUCUAAUUCAUAUGUUAUAUAAAAUAUAAUAAAAUUCAUAAUAAAUAAAUCUAAAUAAAAUAAAAAGCAAUAUGUAGUUGUCUUCCAAGUAGUCCUGUCCUUUUCAAAGAGGUUAUCCUUCUCUGUACCCUUUGUAAGUAUUAUAGGAUAGCUCCCCUGUCAAGUAAAUCAUUUUCCUAGGUACAUAGUUGCUGCUUUAAUAUGAUACUUUAGGGAUAUGAUUUACAUUGUUGGGCCUAUAGAAAAAUAAGAAAUAAUU
rnacentral:lncRNA from 1 species